UUUCGCAAUGCCCGAAAGGGCGACGAAGCGACGCCGCGUGGGUGAGGAAGGCCCUCGGGUUGUAGAGCCCUGUCAGGAGUUAAGAAAUGUAGAUACGCUAAUAUCGUAUCUAUUUGACAAAGGCUCCAAAGGAAGCCACGGCUAACUCUGUGCCAGCAGCCGCGGUAAUACAGAGGUGGCAAGCGUUGUUCGGAAUUAUUGGGCGUAAAGAGCACGUAGGUGGAUUUGUAAGUCAGAUGUGAAAGCCU
rnacentral:rRNA from 1 species